rnacentral:lncRNA from 1 species
AGGGCGAAGCAGUUACAGUGUAUGAAAAACAUAAAUAUGAGCGAAAAUAGGAAAUAAUAAUAAGGUUUGUUAAGGUUUAAGAAAAGGUUUAUGGUUUAAAGGAAAUAACACGGUUAAAGUUUUAGGUUUGAAAUUUAGAGUUUGUGGCGAAAUUGUUAGGGUUUAGGAAAAAUCAGGGUAGUUAGUUAUGAAAAAAAAUGUGCAGGUCUAAAUAUAUGUAUAUAAAAAAAAUGUGAAUUAAAAAAAACAACGGCGUUGCUAGCGCAAAAUUGCAAUCAUCGCAACUGGAUCGGAUAACACAAAUGUCACGCCUCAUACACGUAUAUGUGAAAACGGCGUACUGACACGAUUCGAUCCGAAAACAUAAUCAAAUUAUAACAUAAAAUAGAAAUAUAUAUAUAUAUAUUUAACACACUAGUUACAUAUAUGAACAUGUAUUUGAAACACAGUAACAAAUAUAUCAA